AUUAUACUCCCUCCGUCCCAAAAUUGUUUGUCUAGAUACGGAUGUAUCUAAUACUAAAACGUGACUUGAUACAUCCGUAUCUAGACAAAUCUAAGACAAUAAUUUUGGGACGGAGGGAGUAUCUA
rfam:Triticum urartu cultivar G1812 contig180207, whole genome shotgun sequence.